rnacentral:lncRNA from 1 species
AUGUUCCGAAACCUCUCCAUGAAGAAAACAAGCUUAAAGGCCAAAAGUCAGAAUGCAUCUAGCACUAGCUCCAAACAGAUGAAACUUGACUCUUUUUUUAACAAAAAGCACUCUCCAAAUAAAGAGAAUCUAAAAGACAACCAAUCAUCAAUUGUAAGUUCAGCUCCUUUCUUGUGCCUCUCUGACAAGCAUGGAGAUGAAUCAGUAAUUGACUCCAGCAUAACAAUAUCGAAAGAGAUCACAAGUAAAAGUGAAGAUUUGCACAAAGCUAGAAAGGAUAGCACAGAAGUAAGUACUCUAAAAAAUAAGAAACGAAAAUCCAGCGGCCCAUUAGAUUUAAAGGAUUUUUCUGAAGAUGAAUCUUUCGUUGAAAGUAGUUUGAAAGAGCCCAAUGUCUCAUGCCACCCGAAAACCAAGAAAAUCAACUUAGACAUUUCAACUGAGCUCAAUGCUAGCAUUGGUUUGCCAGGAAAAGAUUUCAAAGAAUCAAAUGUUUCCAAUAAAGAAACAACAAUAGUAACUGACAAAAAACAUUCAAAAUUGAAGCACAAUAAGUGUCUUACAAGACAGCAUAAGUCUGAACCAAAAUCUUCUUCAACGCCUGUCUCCAACUGCACCACUAGUGAGAGCCCCUCUAAUCCUAAUGUUUCAAAUAGUCGCAACAAAAAAUCAUCUCAAAAUGAGCAAAAUAAAAAAUUUCAAUCUCCAGAAAUCAAGAAAAAUAUUCUGAAAUCCUCUCCUAAAAGAAAUGGAAAAGAUACACCCAGAUCUACUCCGAAGAGAAGAGAAAACCGGAAACCUGAUACUCCGUUUCCAUGCUUAAAACCAGCUUCCAAUAUCACUAGCAUUCUUUUUGAGUCAGUUAAAGACAGUAAGAGGCAAUUACCAAACACUAAACAAAAUGAUAGUCGCAGUUUGUCAGAUUCAUCCAUUAAAAGUGUUAUCAGUGGAAGGCCUCAAAAUUCGAGUAAGAUCAAUAAAGAAUCACCUCUUGCUACAGAAAAUAAAAGCUUUCAAUCGACAGAAAGUGGAGAGAACAUGCCUAAAUCUACUCCUAAAAGGCGUGAAAAACGGAAGCCCGAUACUCCGGAUCCGUCCGUGAGAUCAGUCUCAAAUAUCACCAGUAUUCUUUUUGAAUCAGUGGAGGACGGCAAGAUUCAGCCGAGAAACUCUGUAGCAGAUGAUGAUUGCUGUUUGUCAAAAUCUAUCUCCAAAGUGCAUUAAAAUUUCAAAUUAAAAGUGCUAACGAAAGCUCUCAUUAUUCAAAUAUCUCAAGUAAUAGCAACAAGAAAUCACCUUCAAAUGAAGGAAAAGAAAGAUUGCAAUCACCAAAAAGUUUUGAAGACAUUCCAAACCGUACUCCUGCAAGAAGAGAAAAAACAAAGCCUGAUACUCCAUAUCCUUUCUUGAAACCAGCUUCAAAUGCUACCAGCGUACUCUUCGAGACUGCUCGUGACUGCAAGAUCCAAUCAGAAGAUCCGAAAUCUAGUAGCUGUAGCUAUUUGUCAGGUUCAAACAUUGAAAGUGCAUUAAAAUCUCGAGCUCUUUUUUCAAAACUAAAAGUGAGUUCCAAGUCAGCAUCACCAAGUAGUCAUGAAACUCCGAAACGAUUUAGUACUGGCUCUUCCAUCCAACAUAAGAAAAAUGAGCCUAUCAUGAGAAAAAGUAUUCUAAAUUCAAGUGAGCCUUUAUUCGAAGACACACCUUUAAAAUCCUGUCAAAUCUCAAUGAAUGUCUGCAAAGCUGAAAGUGUAUCUGUAAGCGAGUCUAGCCCGAUGUUUAUGGAUUCUCAGUCUGAGCUGAACCGAAAAUGUAAGAGUCUUACUAAGCAAUCAGGAAAUGAUAGUUUAUGGAGUGUUUCCUCUGAAUACAAUUCCCGAGUUAUGUUGAUAGUCCUGUCGAAACAAAUUCUGCCACUAACUCUUUUUCAGACUCAUCAUUUCCAAGCAUCAUUUCCUGUACUGUUAGCAGUAGUGGCACUGUCUUUUUAACUGCCAAUUUUUCCAACAAUCUGGAUGAAAUGUCACCAAGGAAAAAUCAGUGUGAAUCGAAAAGUGCCAAAAACAAUUUACUUGUCUCAGUCCCAAAACACCCAUGUUCAGUCGUCAAAACUCAAGUAUGGAGGGUAGACACAGAAGCUUUGGAAGCUACUUUAAAUAGAAGUUGUGAUUCUAUCGUUGAAAGCUCUCAGCCUGAUUCAGCAGCUACCAGUAUGAAGGAUAAGAUGGCUGAUGAAGUCCUCUGUGAUGGUUUUGAAGAGGAUUUAAUAUUUGAUGACUGGGAUUUCAGCUCACAAAAUCUGAGCAAGUAAGUUGCUAGCUCUCACACAUGUUUAAUGUAUUCCAAAAAGUGCACAGAGAGAACUCCUUUAUUUUGAGCCAUGUAAUCCUUGGGGUUAAGUUCAUUUUAAAGACAGCAAAAUUGUAAAAAUGUGUUUCUCAGUUGUAGAUUUUUAAUAUCUCCACUCCUAGUUUAUUUCUAAAAAAGAGACCAAACCGACAUCAUGACUUGAAAUUUUCACUGAACAUUCUUCUCAUAGAGAAGAAAAAUCACCGACAUUUUCAAGAAUUGACAUAAAAUAGUUUUCAACGUAGAAAAUGAAGUAUAUGACUAGCAGUCUGCAACAUUGCAUUUGUGCGGUUUCACCAGUUUUGCUCUGUGUAUUCCAGCAAGUUGUUGCUUUUCCCUACUUCAUCAAGAUGUAUGCUUCCAUAAUUUUCGGAAGUGAAAAUUUUCAAAAGUCUAU